rnacentral:rRNA from 1 species
UUACGGCCAUAUCACGUUGAAACAACGAUUCCAGUACGAUCACCGAACUUAAGCAACGUCGAACCUGGUCAGUGCCUAGAUGGGUGACGGCCUGGGAAUACCCAGUGCUGUAA